GAUGAACGCUAGCGGCAGGCUUAAUACAUGCAAGUCGAGGGGCAGCACAGGUAGCAAUACUGGGUGGCGACCGGCAAACGGGUGCGGAACACGUACACAACUUACCUUAGAGUGGGGGAUAGCCCAGGGAAACUUGGAUUAAUACCCCAUAAAACAGGGGGCCCGCAUGGGCAUAUUGUUAAAGAUUUAUCGCUUUAAGAUGGGUGUGCGUAUGAUUAGGUAGUUGGUAGGGUAAAGGCAUACCAAGCCGACGAUCAUUAACUGGUGUGAGAGCACGACCAGUCACACGGGCACUGAGACACGGGCCCGACUCCUACGGGAGGCAGCAGUAAGGAAUAUUGGUCAAUGGACGGAAGUCUGAACCAGCCAUGCCGCGUGAAGGAUGAAGGUCCUCUGGAUUGUAAACUUCUUUUAUAGGGGGCGAAAAAGGGCCAUUCUUGGUCAACUGACGGUACCCUAUGAAUAAGCACCGGCUAACUCCGUGCCAGCCGCCCGCAGUAAUAC
rnacentral:rRNA from 1 species